rnacentral:rRNA from 1 species
CUUAGUGGCGGACGGGUGAGUAACGCGUGGGUAACCUGCCUCACACUGGGGGAUAACAGUUAGAAAUAGCUGCUAAUACCGCAUAAGCGCACGGUUCCGCAUGGAACAGUGUGAAAAACUCCGGUGGUGUGAGAUGGACCCGCGUCUGAUUAGCCAGUUGGCGGGUAACGGCCCACCAAGGCGACGAUCGGUAGCCGGACUGAGAGGUUGAACGGCCACAUUGGGACUGAGACACGGCCCAGACUCCUACGGGAGGCAGCAUG